AAAAAAAAAUAACGAACAAGAAGAAUAAGGUUUAACCUAAUUGAUAACGACAUUACAUUAUCCCUUAUUACAUUAUCCCUUAUUACAUUAUCCCUUAGAGCUGUUUUGAAUGAGGUUUAACCUAAUUCAUAACGACAUUACAUUAUCCCUUAGAGCUGUUUUGAAUGAGGUUUAACCUAAUUCAUAACGACAUUACAUUAUCCCUCAGAGCUGUUUUGAAUGAGGUUUAACCUAAUUGAUAACGACAUUACAUUAUCCCUUAUUACAUUAACCCUUAGAGCUGUUUUGAAUGAGGUUUAACCUAAAUCAUAACGACAUUACAUUAUCCCUUAGAGCUGUUUUGAAUGAGGUUUAACCUAAUUCAUAACGACAUUACAUUAUCCCUCAGAGCUGUUUUGUUGAAACACCAAUAGCAGCACAGUUGACAUUAGUCAUAUAGGAAUAAUAUACACUAUAUAAUAUGGCAUAUAUCCCCAAUACCCAUAGCAAUACAGAGCAUAUACAGCCAGGUACAAAAAGAUUAGCACCUUUGAUAAUGAUGAGCAACAAAGACUAUAAAAUAAUACAAAUAAUGAGCGAUAAAGUACAUGCUCAAUUAAAACACACACACACAUAUAUACACACACACACACACACACACACACACACACACACA
rnacentral:lncRNA from 1 species